AUUAUUAUUAUUAUUGCCAAAUGGCGAUCCUAUGAUAACAUUAUUAUGUUUUAGAUAAUAGAUAUAGAAUACACAAAUUACUCGUCUAUGUUAGAUCAAUGCGAUGAUGUUCAUACAUAUUGUUACCUACAAUACAAUUAUUUCACAAAAAUUAAUCUAUUAAUCACGAAUGUUUAGAUUAUUGUGUAGAUUUGCAUUAUCGUAUUGCGACUUAGUACUUUUACUUAAUGCAAAAUGAACAACACUUCAAAGGGUGGGAAAAAUAACAACGAUUACACAAAGUAUGUCUUCAAUAAUUCUUCAAACGGUAACAAAACGUGUGUUUUUUAUCCAUCAGCGUUGGAUCAACCAUUGGAUGACGUCCCUUGGAAAUUGGUCAAUAUGUCAUUUAAAUUAUUAAAUGUUGACUCAAAAUUGGUGUUAACUUUACUCGCAAACCAUGGAUUUCGUGAGGUCAAUUCUGAUUCAAAUGAUUUCAAUUUAUUAUGGUCAAAUAAUCAUAUUAAUACAAACAUCAUUAGUUCAUUGAGGUCUUAUCAACGCAUCAAUCACUUCCCUAGAUCAUGUGAAUUGACUCGUAAAGAUAAACUGUACAAAAACAUUGAAACUAUGAGCCAUCGCAAUGGAAUUAAAAAGUUCUCUUUUGUUCCUGAAACAUACAUUAUGCCGAAAGAUUACAAUAGAUUUAUUUCGAAUCAAUACCGACAUCGAGGUUUAUGGAUUGUAAAGCCUUUCGAUUUAUCUCGCGGAAGAGGAAUAACAAUUAUUGAUUAUUCAUUUAAGGACACUCAAUCGGCGUUGAAGGAAAAUGUCGUUGUUGCUAAGUAUAUUGACAAUCCUCUGUUGGUGAAUGGAUAUAAGUGGGAUUUACGUUUGUACGUAUUAGUUACAUCAUUCAAUCCACUUGUUGUGUACCUGUACGAAGAAGGUUUGGUUAGAUUUGCCACUGUUAAAUAUGUAUGUGAUAGAAGUCGUAUUAAUAAUCGACGAAUGCAUCUUUGCAACUAUAGUGUCAACAAAAGCAGCCCGAGCUAUAUUAGAAAUUCGGAUCCUGAACGAGAAAAUGUUGGCCAUAAGUGGUCCAUGAGCGCUCUUUUGAACCAUCUUAGAGAAGAGUACCUUAUUAAUACUGAAACUUUGAUGGCUGAAAUUGAAGAUAUUGUAGUUAAAACAAUAAUGAGUGCAACUGCACAAAUGUUACCAGCAAUCAAUUGCUUUGUACCUCACAAUCAAAAUUGUUUCGAACUAUACGGAUUUGAUAUUUUGGUGGACGAUAAGUUAAAACCAUGGCUGCUUGAAGUUAACCUAUCUCCAUCAUUAGGGAUAGAUUCUGGACUUGAUUCUCGCAUUAAGAGUUCAAUGCUAUGCGAUUUAUUUACUUUGAUUGGCAUCCCAAUCGUUGACCCUACUGUCUUCAACUUUAACAAAAAUGUUCGAAGACCAAAAUCUGAUAUUCCAAGGAACAGAAAUUCAAAUAUAAAUAUUAACAAUCUCAGUAGUGAUGAAAAAAGAUUAUUGAAAAAUACGAUGGAUCAAAAUCAAAGGAGCAGAGGGUUCAUACGGAUUUUUCCUACAUACCUAUCAUGGAAAAAGUAUUCCUCUUACUUAGAUAAUAUCAAUGGAAUUCCUAGGGGAUCCACUAUACCACCGUUUUAUGUAAAACUGAUAAGGAAUUAUAAUUAUUUUUUAAACGACCAUUUAUUCAGCGAAAACUCCUCAUUUUAUAUGGAUAUUAGCAGACAAGAUCGCUAUGAAAGGUCCUUAAAAGAUUUUAAGCGGAGUUUAAAUGAUGAUAAAGAUGCGGAUCAAACAACUGAUAUGUCAAAGUUAAAAAAAACAAUUGUAAAAUAUUUAAAUGAUGGAUAUGUAUUCAGGUUUCUAAAUCUUCAUUAUCAAACAAAAAAGCAAUGGAAAUACUUCAAUUAUUGGAAAGCUUUUUAUUGAAAUACAACUAUGAUACUGUAAUGUAUUUGACCCCAGAGACUACAAAAAAUUGUUUGCCACAUAAAUUGUUUAAUUUAUUUCUCACGCAUGCCGGGAAAGAAGAUAUCGAAGAAAUAAUUAAUGAUUCGAAACACAAUUGUUUGGCUUCUGCAAUACACCCGGUGAAUGAUAUUAAAAAUUCUAAAUCAUUAGAAUCAAAAGUUUGGAAAUAAUAUGUACAAUGCUAAAGCGGAG
rnacentral:misc_RNA from 1 species